GACGAACGCUGGCGGCGUGCCUAAUACAUGCAAGUCGAACGAGGUGCUCUUGUAGCAAUACGAGAGUAUCCUAGUGGCGAACGGGUGAGUAACGCGUUGGUGACCUACCCCAAAGUGUGGGAUAACAGUCCGAAAGGAUUGCUAAUACCGCAUGUGGUCAUUGGAUUUAGAAACUGAUGACUAAAGGAGCAAUUCGCUUUGGGAGGGACCUGCGUCCCAUCAGCUAGUUGGUGAGGUAAUGGCUCACCAAGGCGACGACGGGUAGGGGACCUGGGAGGGUGACCCCCCACAAUGGAACUGAAACACGGUCCAUACACCUACGGGUGGCAGCAGUAGGGAAUAUUGCUCAAUGGGCGAAAGCCUGAAGCAGCAACGCCGCGUGUGUGAUGAAGGCCUUCGGGUCGUAAAGCACUUUUCUGGGAGAUGGGAAAGGACAGUAUCCCAGGAAUAAGUCUCGGCUAACUACGUGCCAGCCGCCGCAGUAACAC
rnacentral:rRNA from 1 species